rnacentral:rRNA from 1 species
AGGCCUAACACAUGCAAGUCGAACGGCAGCACAGAAGAGCUUGCUCUUUGGGUGGCGAGUGGCGGACGGGUGAGUAAUGUCUGGGAAACUGCCCGAUGGAGGGGGAUAACUACUGGAAACGGUAGCUAAUACCGCAUAACGUCGCAAGACCAAAGUGGGGGACCUUCGGGCCUCACACCAUCGGAUGUGCCCAAAUGGGAUUAGCUAGUAGGUGGGGUAAUGGCUCACCUAGGCGACGAUCCCUAGCUGGUCUGAGAGGAUGACCAGCCACACUGGAACUGAGACACGGUCCAC